GGAAUUUUCCGCAAUGGGCGAAAGCCUGACGGAGCAAUACCGCGUGAGGGAAGACUGCCUAUGGGUUGUAAACCUCUUUUUUCAGGGAGGAAUAAAUGACGUGUACCUGAAGAAUAAGCAUCGGCUAACUCCGUGCCAGCAGCCGCGGUAAGACGGAGGAUGCAAGUGUUAUCCGGAAUCACUGGGCGUAAAGCGUCUGUAGGUGGUUGUUUAAGUCAACUGUUAAAUCUUGAGGCUCAACUUCAAAAUCGCAGUCGAAACUAUUCAACUAGAGUAUAGUAGGGGUAAAGGGAAUUUCCAGUGGAGCGGUGAAAUGCGUAGAUAUUGGAAAGAACACCGAUGGCGAAGGCACUUUACUGGGCUAUUACUAACACUCAGAGACGAAAGCUAGGGUAGCAAAUGGGAUUAGAUACCCCUGUAGUC
rnacentral:rRNA from 1 species